rnacentral:rRNA from 1 species
CCUACGGGAGACAGCAGUGAGGAAUCUUGGUCAAUGGCCGAGAGGCUGAACCAGCCAAGUCGCGUGAGGGAAGACGGCCCUACGGGUUGUAAACCUCUUUUGUCGGGGAGCAAAGAGAGUCACGUGUGAAUCAUUGAGAGUACCCGAAGAAAAAGCAUCGGCUAACUCCGUGCCGGCAGCCGCGGUAAUACGGAGGAUGCGAGCGUUGUACGGAUUUAUUGGGGUUAAAGGGUGCCAAGGCGGAGGUGCAAGUCAGCGGUCAAAUUGCGGGGCUCAACCCCGUACUGCCGUUGAAACUGCAUCCCUUGAGUGCGCGAGAAGUAUGCGGAAUGCGUGGUGUAGCGGUGAAAUGCAUAGAUAUCACGCAGAACUCCGAUUGCGAAGGCAGCAUACCGGCGCGCAACUGACGCUCAUGCACGAAAGCGUGGGUAUCGAACAGGAUUAGAUACCCCAGUAGUC